rnacentral:rRNA from 1 species
ACGGAGGGUGCAAGCAUUGAUCGGAAUUACUGGGCGUAAAGGGCGCGUAGGCGGCUUGAAAAGUCAGAUGUGAAAUUCCGGGGCUCAACCCCGGAGCUGCAUUUGAAACUUUCGAGCUAGAGGGUAGUAAGGGAAAACGGAAUUCCGCGUGUAGCGGUGAAAUGCGUAGAUAUGUGGAAGAACACCGGUGGUGAAGACGGUUUUCUGUGCUAAACCUGACGCUGAGGCGCGAAAGCUAGGGGAGCAAACAGGA